CAAUAGCGUAUAUUUAAGUUGUUGCAGUUAAAAAGCUCGUAGUUGGAUUUCGGUUAAGAGCGACCGGUCCGCCGUUUGGUGUGCACUGGUUGGUUUUAACUUCCUGUAGAGGACGUGCUCUGGGUUUAACGACCUGGACUCGGAGUCUACGUGGUUACUUUGAAAAAAUUAGAGUGUUCAAAGCGGGCUUACGCUUGAAUAUUUCAGCAUGGAAUAACACUAUAGGACUCCUGUCCUAUUUCGUUGGUCUCGGGACGGGAGUAAUGAUUAAGAGGAACAGUUGGGGGCAGUCGUAUUUCAUUGUCAGAGGUGAAAUUCUUGGAUUUAUGAAAGACGAACUUCUGCGAAAGCAUUUGCCAAGGAUGUUUNCAUUAA
rnacentral:rRNA from 1 species